UUUAUCACAUUUAAAAUGACGUGGGGUGGCGCCUCCAAUAUUAAGAGUUCCCACAGCUGCAAAAGUUGCAACACACUGUAGCAUUGCUACUUGGUUUGAGUAAAAGACAGCUCAUUAGCUCUGUCCUUAUUUGUUGAUGGCCAGAUUCCAGAAGAACAGGUGUAAGUCUUUCUUGCUGCUAGUGGUUGGAGGUCAGGAGUUGAUGAGCCUCAUGAAAUAACAUGGGCUUCCUAUCUUCAGUUAAAUCCCAAUAGAGCCUAGUAUAGUCUUUACCUUUUUUAAUUUUAUUUGGUCAAAUAUGUGCAUGCAUUUAUACUUCAUGAAAUUGUUUUCUGCUUAAGGGAUUAUGAUGAGGUAUCAGAUACCUCAUGAACUUCACGGAGACUAUCCUCCGCAUUUGGAUCCUUACCCUUUCCUGUGGAAAAAGUUUACCCUGGUGUGGAAACUAUUAGACUUUCUCCAUCCAGAAGCGUUAGGUUCUGCCUUGAGUCAAUUCUGGUUUGGGGCUUGGUUCUGGAUCUCUGAGCUGGGCUUUGCUACUCAUCUUUGGUUGCUAUGGUUGGGUUUCCACCAUGAUGGCUAGAUCCCCAGAUGCCAUCUAUCAGAUUGAUUGACCCUUGGCUGAACGCCGGCCAUCAGAGUCUACUAAUGAUAAACUCUGUUCACCUGCAGGUGUUGUUUACUUCUCGAACUCUUUAAUGCUUGACAAGUGUCUGCCCGAACUUUACUGUCCCCGAAGUCUUCAGUUUGCUUCUAGGCUUUUCCUCACAAAAGCCGAGAAAUUUUCUUUUGGUUUGUCUGGCUUGGCCUCCGAGGGAUAGCCUAACGUCUGUGUCCAGCCUCCUCCAGGCUGGCCACUUGUGACACUGACGAAGUCCCCGAUCCUGAAGCAAAAGGGAAUGAUAUACAGUUGAGCUACGUGAGAAGCAGAAACAAUGCCACAUUAUGAUUUGCAGUCCCCAAAUAGGAAGGAAUAGAAGAGACAAGGACAACUCAAAACAAAUGAGCUUCUGCAUACAUAUUAAAUCACUUCAAUCAUGUCCAACUCUGUGUACAACCCCAUGGACUGCAGCCUGCCAGGCUCCCGUGUUCAUGAGAUUCUUCAGAGCGAGUAUCAUCGGAACCAGGUUAAAUAUCAAACAAAUAAAGGCCAACUUAACCAAAGAGAAGAAUUUCCUUUAGAGUCAUUGAUACUCCAUCACUUUAAAAAGAACACAUAUUACAGGGCCAAAUGAUGUCAAGAUUAACAUGUUUUCUUCUACUUUAUCUUAAACUAAAUAAGCAAGAGAUUGUAAGGAAGAUUCAAAGGAAGACUCUUGGUGUUUCCAUUGGUUAUGAACAGAUACGGAGGAAUGACAGAAGAAUUUUAUUUACUCCUCUUUGGCACUCCACUGUCACCAUCAUCACUACGAAUUCAUUCUUAUAUUGCCUGGAAAAGUAACAACAGUUCCACAUACCAUAGCUUUCCCGCAGAAGAGUACUCUAUGCCAAAGCAAAAGAAAACUAAUUAAAGAUCUCAUUGUAACUAAGACAACUGGGAACAUCAUGUUCAGCAUAACUGAGGAUGCAGGGUAUCUGCCAAAACUGUGAAUUCAACUUUUUUUUGAUUCAUGUAUAGAUUUAAAAAUGUGAAGAAUACAAAUGUAAUUGUUCAGUACAUCAUCCUCUUGUAUUUAUGUAAUUGUUCAUUGCGCAUUAUUACAAUAUUCUCCAAUAUUCUAUUUUUCCUCUUUCCUUCCUCCCCCUGUCUUUCCUUUGAAAUAAAUAUUUC